rnacentral:rRNA from 1 species
GCCGAAGGGGGCUAGCGUUGUUCGGAAUUACUGGGCGUAAAGCGCGCGUAGGCGGUUCUUCAAGUCAGGCGUGAAAGCCCCGGGCUUAACCCGGGAAUAGCGCUUGAUACUGUGGGACUUGAGUCCGGGAGAGGAUAGUGGAAUUCCCAGUGUAGAGGUGAAAUUCGUAGAUAUUGGGAAGAACACCAGUGGCGAAGGCGGCUAUCUGGACCGGUACUGACGCUGAGGCGCGAAAGCGUGUGGAGCAAACAGG